rnacentral:lncRNA from 1 species
AUUGUGUUCACUGUGGCUCAAUUCCUUACAAAUCAUAAUCCUUGAUAAACACAGUUAAGCACUUUUAAUGUUUAUUCCUUACUUAUAGUGGAUACACAGCAGUUUAUACACAAGGCAAAGCCAGCCUGGUUUACUGGGAGUGGAAGUGUGGUGAGGGGAUCCUGCCAUAGCCAGCUAGCAAGGGGUAAAUCCACCUACACCCUCUAGGACCUCCUUCCUGCUGAGCCAUCACUUGAUGGUAAGGGGAGAAUUUAUAAACAUGAAGUUUAACAUGGCAGAUGAUGGAAAAGGACUCUUGAGAAAAAUAGCAAAUGAGCUACCAGAAAACCCUAAGGAAUGUCCUGUUCUCAGCUUUCCCUGGGUCAAGUCUGAGUUUGAAGCUGGAGCUUUAAGAAUUAACGUAGGGGGUAAGGGGCAGGGGACUCUCCUGAUCUCCCAGAGCCUGUGCGAGACCAAGGAAGCCACCCAUUUAGGGUCAUUGGACAUUGGAUUAAGCCAGACCAUUGAAGAGCUGCCUUUGUGCACUACAUAUUAUCCUGGCCUCUCUUAAAACCUAUUUCAUAUACUGCCACUUUUGUAUCAAGGGAUGUUAUAUCAGUCACACGACAAUUUCUGUGAUAACCACUGUACAGAUGCUUUUGAGGAUGUGGCCAAAUGCACCUGACAGCACUGAUCCUCCUUCUCAACCUCAUAGGAGAAAUGUUUCUCAGUUUAAAGAACCAGAAAAAUGUAUAUUUCUCCUAAGUGUUAACAUGUGAUUCUCCUCAGCAUUGUGAAUCUUGUAGCUCGUAGAAUUCCCCUCUUUGCUUUGGAUGCUGGGAAACUCAAAGACAUAUUUUGCCUAUUCCCAACAACUUGUACAGCACCUUGUAGCAUACAUUUUCUGUACAUGCUUUGCACUUGUGUUCAUCUUAUUUCCUACCCUUGUUUUCCUUUUGCCCUAACUGCUUCAUCUCUAAGUUGUUGCUUAUCACAUGAGAUGUAUUCUAAAGGUUUCCUAUAUUAGAGCAGAUAACUGCAGUAAAAAAAAAAAAAAAAAAAAAAAAAAAGACUCUAAAUGACUGCAGUGACUGCAGUGAAAAAGGUUGACUUCCGCUUACCUGAAGUCUAAUGUGGAUGUUACUUGGUGAUUCCCUGCCAAGUGGGGGACACAGGAACAUACGUUCUUUAGCUUUGCCAUCUUUAGCAUGUAGCCCUACAGUGACUGCCAGAGGUAGAAAGAUGGGAAGCACAUCAGGCCCUUCACUCCUUCAGCCUGGAAAUGACACACACCAUUACCUCUAACAUUCCUUUGGCCAGAAUUAGUCACUCAGACAUAAAGCACUGGGAAAUAUUGUUCCCAAUUGGGCAGCCACUUCCCCAAAACAACAGUAGAUGGGAGGGAACACAAAUCCUUGGUGGUCAGCUACUGUUUCUGCCACACUCUCUAAAUUCCCUCUGAAAACAAGAAAAGUAAACAAACUCAGUAGACUUUAGAGAAAAAGGAAAUCUCUCUUCUUGCCAAAGAACAGGAUUAUCAAUUAAGAAAUAACCAAAACUGGGAAGAUCUAUGGUGGGACUGACUCUGUGCUGGGUAUUAGAGGUGGCACAAAGCAUGAGUUAUAGUUCUUGCCUUCGAGUUGAUUAUAGGGUUUCACACACACCUUCCACACUUCUGCUUCCAUGGUUGGAGAUGUGGCAGUUCUCAAAACCAGUCUGUAGUGGAGGUCUAUAAGGUCUCUCCCCUGCCCUCACUGAACUCUGUAAAGAAAAGGGUCAGAUGCAGCAAGGAGCUGGCUCUGCCUGUGGAAUAAAAGCAAGCCCUUCGGUAGCCA